UUUCUCUGUGUCUCUUCAAGUUCCACACUCCAUUUUUGGGGUCCCAAGCCCUUUAUACGGGCGCUCAUGGACUCACAGACUCCACCACACCCAAGAGACAAUUUAUUUAUUUAUUUAAAUAUUCACAUGUUUAUUCACUGCACUUU
ensembl:ncRNA B0350.75 ncRNA